GGUGCACGGUUCUGCCAUACCCCCUCCUCCGCGAUUCGCGUCUCUGCCGCCAUGCCCGCUCUCCAUCGAAGGAAGGCGCCAUUCCAGGGAUUAUCGCACCAUUCUCGCCCUCGUCCGCUCUCCGGCACCAUUCUAGCAUUCCAGGGAUUACCGCCUCCCCCUCGAUCCGCGGCACUCUCCCCCGUCCUUCUCGAGUAUGGCACCGCCAGUCCGCCUCGCGACCCCUGCCUCCUCCCCCCUCGCUCUCUUGUUCCCCCAGCCACCGCGAGGAACUCUGAACCCCAUUCCCCACCACCGUACCAAUCCCCGCAUCUACGCCGCUCCCCCCGCCCCCUGUCAACUACGCCAGGUCCUCGCCAUCGAUGUCGCCCAAGCGCGUCGUCCUCGCCCCCGACCUCGGCGUGCGGGAUUCGGUACCGAAAGAAGAGACAGGAGGAGAAUACAAGCCCUCAGCCUCGGUGUUCCCCAUUCACCGCUCAGGCGCAGUCCAUCGCUCCUUCGACGAGGGCUCCAGCGACUACGGCUCCAUCGCUCCUCAUGGUGAUGCCGCCGAGGGUUGUCCUACGAAGCCGUCCGCGAUGCCGAGGGUUGUCCUACGAAGCAGACACGCCCUGCGGCUGCCCACACAAAGGGUUUGGUUCUUGUUCCUCCAAGCUACUGCGCGUGUGCUUUCACAUUCGGCACAGUGGGAGCCCUCAUGGCAGCAGACGACGUGUGACUCCAGACUCGGCGUAGACGACCCACAAGGAGCUGCUAAUGGCGGAGGCUGAGCGCCGCCAUGGAUCUGACACGGUGUGGAAUGGGAGGAGCCGAAGCGGAGAUUGGAUCAAAGUGCACUGGGCAGGAGCCAAGCAAAUCUGGUGGACGCCUAAGGAUCAGGACGUGGUGCCUCCCGCACUGGUCCGCGGCUGCUGGAGCAGCUGCCACGGCUGGCAUCGCAGUGGUCUUGUUAACCUCAAGAGCCAAAUGAUUCAGCUGAGUUUCGGUCUCAUAUUGGUGGAGCUGUUGUAUCUGCAGCAAAGGUGAUGUUUCUGAACAUUAGUAUGUGCUUAGAAGACAAAUUUGUUGCUCUCAGUUCACUAUUGUUGGUUAAGAUCUUUUCAUUAUCUACCCGCUAAAUUUUCUGCACCAAUAUAGAAUGACAAAUGCGCAAGCAAUUUGCUUCACAUGAAUGCCAAUUCAAAGUUAUAUGUAUUAUCUAAUGGAUCAUUUUAGUAGAAUUUUUUUCUAAUAAUACUCAACAGUUGGCAAGCUACCUAACAUUUUCAUGCUAUCUAUCAUAAAACAAGUGGUUCUUUCUUUGUUUUCUCUGUUGAUACGUUUUUAGCAGUUAUUCUGUUUAAUCCUUCUAUUUCACAUAUAGGGUCAUUUAUUGGAUUGUUUGUGUUGAAGGCAGUUGGUUACUACAAUGCUGGAACAGUGGAGUUUAUUGUGGACACUCUUUCUGGAGAGUUCUACUUCAUGGAGAUGAAUACUCGACUCCCUCCUCCCCUCCUAGAUCCUGUGAUCUGCUACGAAGCUGCCAUCAACGCCCUCCUCCCCCUCUCCGCUCAGCUCCUCCUCGCUCUUUCGUAGAGGAGAGGAUUUCACACUGAUGCAAGCGCUCAUCAAGGCAGAUUUCUGGCUUCUGUUUUUCUCGUCUACCAGAUAAUCAAGAAAGAUUUUAGUAUUGCAAGAUUUGCUCAGAUGAUGCGGAGGUUAAAUUUCUUUGUGGCAUUCUGUUGCAUUGGGCAUAUAUAAUAGAGCAUGAGAUCAUUGUCAAGGAUCACUUGGUCUGUUUAACACAUACAAUGAGGUACCAUCAAUCAUGGCUAUUAAGAUUGCUUGCUGCUUCUUGUCUGUAAUUUUGAUAUGGGAAAUCCCUGGGGUAUUUGAAUUAUUGUGGACCCCUUUACAUUUCUGCUAGGCUAUAAAGAUCCAUCACCAUCCAAGGCACACUUACCCCUGCUACAUGAGUGGCAUUUCCGAUCUGGCCUCGAUCGAUACAUAUGGAUUAUUGGAAUGAUUUAUGCUUACUUCCAUCCUAAUGUUGAAAGAUGGAUGGAGAAGCUGGAAGAAUCUGAGACUAAGGUUAGAUUAUCAAUCAAGGGAACCAUUGUCACUCUUUCGUUGACGGAAAGUUUCCACAAUCUCUUACCUUUGUUGUUGUGGAAACUGUUGGAUUUCUUUAAAUCAAGUACUUGACACCACUGUGUUGUUAAUACUGUACUGACUUGGUGUUGUGUCUCUUCUUCUAGGUUGGCUUUCUAUGGUAUGAACAUAUAUACAAGCUAGACAAAGGUACAUACAACAAGUAGCAUCCCUACACAUCAUGGAUCCCUAUAACAUUGCCGGUCUCAGACGAAGAGCAGCAGUAGCAGCAUGUUCUGCUUACCACAGCAUCAGCAACGAAGUAUUUUAUUGUAAGCAAGCUGGGGUAGACUCCGGUUAAGAAACUCAGUAGAAUGCACGGUUCAGGCAUAUAGAUAAUUGUUUUUCAAGAAUAAAUCUUAGAUAUAUCCUUCUUCUUUUAUUGCUUAUUUCCGUAUCAACUUCAGUUUUAUCUUCAUCUUUUUCUAUUGUUAUCACGCCUUAAAAUCCUACUAUGCUUCUUCAGCUUGGCUCAGUCUGCUUAUAUUUCAGAUUAUCUUGCAAUAAUUGGAUGUUGUUUUUGGCUGAGUUAGAAGCCCCGUGUAGGUCGGCUCAGGCUUCUUAUGUUUCAGAUUCUCCUGCAACCAUUUGGUGUUGUUUUUGGCUGAGUUAGAAGCUCCGUCCAGAUUAUCUUGCAAUAAUUGGAUGCUGUUUUUGGCUGAGUUAGAAGCCCCGUGCAGGUCCGCUCAGGCUUCUUAUGUUUCAGAUUCUCCUGCAACCGUUUGGUGUUGUUUUUGGCUGAGUUAGAAGCUCCGUCCAGGAUAAACGAUGCUCCAUAAAUUAUGAAGCAGAUGCCCCCGCCACCUAAGGAUUUGGAGAUUGCUAUAGUUCGGAGCUCGAGCUGCCCUUCGAUCGAACCAAGAACAACCCUGCUGCCCUCACAACAUCAAAGUUUGGUAUCAGCAAGAUGGAGCUUCUCAAGGCAUGCUUUUGUAGGGAGUGACUGCUGAUGUAGAGGAACUCAUGGAUGAAGGUAUACGGUACUAGCUGACUUAACAGAAUAUCCAUCAGUAUUCUACAAUGAUCAAUACAGAUCAUUGAUCCCUUUCAUGUCAUGGUCUAUUCAAAAGGAAAAUCCACUUCUGAGAUUAACAGUUGAGAACUGUGAGUUGUCCAGUAUUGGUGUGAUUAUACUUCUGGACUGCCUCACAAAUGCGAAGCAACUCCUUGAUGUGCUAUCUAUUGCAGACAAUCAUCUAGGGAGUCCUGUGGCAGCUGCAUUGGCCAGAUUCUUGGGUUCACAUGUACGAGCUUUAAAUGCUACAGAUAUCGGCUUGGGAACAGUAGGCUUCCAAAUACUUGAGGAAACAUUGCCAACAGAAGUAGCUCUUUCCCACAUCAACAUCAGUAAGAAUCGUGGUGGGAUCAGAGCAGCAUAUUUUGUUUCCAGAUUAAUAUGUCGAGCACCAAACCUUGUCUCAGUCAAUGCAGCAGGGAAUCUGUGGACCCUCUUCAAUAUGUGAGGAUUGGCCUGCUGGUGGACAAGGAGGCCCCCGCCCUGGUCCUGGUGCUGCUGCUACAGCUCCAGCACCAGCACCGGUUGCUGCUCGCCCAUAGGCUUUAGCUUUUCGACCGUGUUGAAAGUCUUCUGCCCACGCAGUUUCGGAGUUGUCGCCUAUGGGUGAAAAACAAGAAGAUGGAAAAUACAAGCACUCUGUGGAUCUCCCGAAAACAACAUUUGAGCUGAGAGCGAAUUCUGUACAGCGGGAGCUAGAGCUCCAAAAAUUAUGGGACGAUAAUCAGGUUCUGAAAAGGGUUUCUGAGGAACACUGGGUGAUCUUCACAUGGGCCAUGCGCUCAAUAAAAUCCUCAAGGAUUUUAUAAAUCGCUACAAGCUGCUUCAGAAUCAUAAAGUGUCCUUUGUUCCUGGUUGGGAUUGCCACGGCCUUCUAAUAGAACUAAAAGGCAAGUUCAUUUGUACAAAGGUCUAUAUUCUAUUUGUUGCCCAAGUCUUAUCUGCAUUACUAAAUGCUAUUCACGUUUGCUAUUUUAAAAAUUGAAUUUUGAGAAUCUUCAUGUAUUUAGAGGUUGUAUUUGUAUAUGAUGCUAAUCUCCUUAUUGUCGCACAUGUUCACGCUGGAGAAGGUGGCUUGUGCGAACGAGGCGUGGCAAUCGAUGAGCAGUGGCAAACCCAAAAAUCUUCAAAAGCCUAGGCAAAAGUAGUAACUAAAGAUACAUCACCUUGUCCAGUUUUUCUGCUUUUACUUCGACUAUAUGUCAUUGUGCCACAAAAAACUUGUUUCAUCGACUUAUGAUGAGUCUUCUCAAUUGUUUCUUGAAUAUGCUUUUUUAGAACCAAAUUGAAUUUUACAAGGUGCAAUAUUGAUUAGAAAAAGGUGUGAUGCUGACUGGGAAAGCGCUACUCCCUUGUAUGAAUUAGCUGGUCGAUGAUUUUGUUUCCCAUCCUUUUUAAUUUCUUGA